rnacentral:rRNA from 1 species
AGAGUUUGAUCCUGGCUCAGGACGAACGCUGGCGGCGUGCUUAACACAUGCAAGUCGAACGGUAAGGCCCUUCGGGGUACACGAGUGGCGAACGGGUGAGUAACACGUGGGUAAUCUGCCCUGCACAUCGGGAUAAGCCUGGGAAACUGGGUCUAAUACCGAAUAGGACCACAGGACACAUGUCCUGUGGUGGAAAGCUUUUGCGGUGUGGGAUGGGCCCGCGGCCUAUCAGCUUGUUGGUGGGGUGAUGGCCUACCAAGGCGACGACGGGUAGCCGGCCUGAGAGGGUGUCCGGCCACACUGGGACUGAGAUACGGCCCAGACUCCUACGGGAGGCAGCAGUGGGGAAUAUUGCACAAUGGGCGAAAGCCUGAUGCAGCGACGCCGCGUGGGGGAUGACGGCCUUCGGGUUGUAAACCUCUUUCACCAUCGACGAAGGUCCGGGUUUUCUCGGGCUGACGGUAGGUGGAGAAGAAGCACCGGCCAACUACGUGCCAGCAGCCGCGGUAAUACGUAGGGUGCGAGCGUUGUCCGGAAUUACUGGGCGUAAAGAGCUCGUAAGUGGUUUGUCGCGUUGUUCGUGAAAUCUCACGGCUUAACUGUGAGCGUGCGGGCGAUACGGGCAGACUUGAGUACUGCAGGGGAGACUGGAAUUCCUGGUGUAGCGGUGGAAUGCGCAGAUAUCAGGAGGAACACCGGUGGCGAAGGCGGGUCUCUGGGCAGUAACUGACGCUGAGGAGCGAAAGCGUGGGGAGCGAACAGGAUUAGAUACCCUGGUAGUCC